GAGCAUGCGGGUGCUAUACAUGCAAGUCGAGCGAACAGAUAAGGAGCUUGCUCCUUUGAAGUUAGCGGCGGACGGGUGAGUAACACGUGGGUAACCUACCUAUAAGACUGGGAUAACUUCGGGAAACCGGAGCUAAUACCGGAUAACAUUUAGAACCGCAUGGUUCUAAAGUGAAAGAUGGUUUUGCUAUCACUUAUAGAUGGACCCGCGCCGUAUUAGCUAGUUGGUAAGGUAACGGCUUACCAAGGCGACGAUACGUAGCCGACCUGAGAGGGUGAUCGGCCACACUGGAACUGAGACACGGUCCAGACUCCUACGGGAGGCAGCAGUAGGGAAUCUUCCGCAAUGGGCGAAAGCCUGACGGAGCAACGCCGCGUGAGUGAUGAAGGGUUUCGGCUCGUAAAACUCUGUUAUUAGGGAAGAACAAAUGUGUAAGUAACUGUGCACAUCUUGACGGUACCUAAUCAGAAAGCCACGGCUAACUACGUGCCAGCAGCCGCGGUAAUACGUAGGUGGCAAGCGUUAUCCGGAAUUAUUGGGCGUAAAGCGCGCGUAGGCGGUUUCUUAAGUCUGAUGUGAAAGCCCACGGCUCAACCGUGGAGGGUCAUUGGAAACUGGGAAACUUGAGUGCAGAAGAGGAAAGUGGAAUUCCAUGUGUAGCGGUGAAAUGCGCAGAGAUAUGGAGGAACACCAGUGGCGAAGGCGACUUUCUGGUCUGUAACUGACGCUGAUGUGCGAAAGCGUGGGGAUCAAACAGGAUUAGAUACCCUGGUAGUCCACGCCGUAAACGAUGAGUGCUAAGUGUUAGGGGUUUCCGCCCCUUAGUGCUGCAGCUAACGCAUUAAGCACUCCGCCUGGGGAGUACGACCGCAAGGUUGAAACUCAAGAGAAUGUAGACACGGGACA
rnacentral:rRNA from 1 species